rnacentral:rRNA from 1 species
CACGCCCUAAACGAUCUUGACUAGAUUUGGGGAGUAUCGACCCUCUCCGAGUCGUAGCUAACGCGUUAAGUCAAGCGCCUGGGUAGUACGACCGCAAGGUUAAAACUCAAAGGAAUAGACGGGGACUUGCACAAGCGGUGGAUCAUGUGGCUUAAUUCGUAGAUAAACGAAGAACCUUACCAGGACUAGAAACCAAACUGAAUACUUAGGGAAACUUAGGUAGCCUUCGGGCAGUUUGGCAGGUGA